ACUAACAUGGCUCAGUUGGUAGAGCACGAGACUCUUAAUCUCAAGGUCAUGGGCUCAAGCCCUAUGUUGAGCA